GGUUGUGGGAGGAGUGGGAGGAGGGGAGAGAGGGAAAUAAUGUGAUUAUUAUAACCAAGGAAUAAUGUUCUAAAUUGACUAAACUCCUUCAAAUGAAAAAAUAAGGAAACAGAGUCUGAAAGAGUUUAAUAAGGAAGAGAAGCAGAGGCAUAGGUGAGAGAAUAGCAAUAAACCAGGGAUGAGGGGAGCCCUGGUGACAAAGAGGACACUGGAUUCUCUCUGUGGUCAAGGAGAGAUGGCAGUGAGAGGGGUAAAUUCACUCAGUUACCCAACUUCCUCAUAGGAGAGUACAGUGUCAAGGAUGACAAGCCUCACCUGGCUGAGAGUGAGGUUUGUUUGGGCCCCAUUGUCAUAGCAACAAGGGAAUGUUUGGUAACAGAGCCAGUGACUUCACAGAAGCUGGUCUUAAUUCCACAUUUCUGAAGCUCAUGGAAGAGCAGAGCCAGCCAGGAGAGAAUGUGGAGGCAGAGGAAGACAAUAGUUCCCUUGGAAGAGCUGUGACUAUGAGAAAAGUACUGUCCUGUAUCCUGGAGGGACACCAGAUGGAACCAAAAGACCAUGUUAUUUAAGUCAAUUAGUCAAAAACUAAAACCUUAAUUUACAAUGAAAAAAGUUUUUUAAAAAAAUAAACAAUCUAAAUGACUACUUUCCUGAGCCUGU
rnacentral:lncRNA from 1 species